GUAUAAGUUAUAGUGGCCGCCUCAUAGGAGGGUCGUCACAUUCGUGACCUUAGAACAAACUGAUGGAUGUGAUUAAUCUCCGCGGAUGUACCAGAACCAGCCACACGCAAGGCUCUAGGAGGAAUGUCUACUAAUGUUUCUUCUUAAAUAUUCAGAGUAGGACACUUUCUAGGAGUUGCAGCAUCAUGGACUCUGCAGUAUUCAGAGGCCAGAACCUUGUUUUGUCUACUUAUGUUUCUUCUUUGAGAUUCGCCAAUUCUUAGUACAAGUGAAGCAUCUUCGGAAUGCAUCCUUUGUUUAAGUUAAUGGUAUAUGAUGCAAACUAAAGAAGAGGGUGGUGAAAUCAAAACACAAAAACAAGUGAAAUUGCAUCACUAGUUUUCGCUUCUGUGGAAGCAGGGGACUUGUGCCACCGUAUUUUUCUCUUCAACUAGAGAAUGGAUUGUUUCUGCAGGCUGCACUGUUGAUCUGUAAUGUUAGAGUUAAUGUUGCUGAUGUGCCGCAUAAUUUGGAUCUCAAAUGCCGAUUGCUCGAACUAUUAGUCAAUAUUGUCUUUUAUGUAGUUAUAUGAGAUUGUUGUAUCUGUAUAAAUAAGGGCAC